UGGGAUCAAAAAGCAUGGGC
rnacentral:misc_RNA from 1 species